rnacentral:rRNA from 1 species
CCUACGGGGGGCAGCAGUGGGGAAUAUUGGACAAUGGGGGGAACCCUGAUCCAGCCAUGCCGCGUGUGUGAAGAAGGCCCUCGGGUUGUAAAGCACUUUCAGUGAGGAAGAACGCCUGGUGGUUAAUACCCAUCAGGAAAGACAUCACUCACAGAAGAAGCACCGGCUAACUCCGUGCCAGCAGCCGCGGUAAUACGGAGGGUGCGAGCGUUAAUCGGAAUUACUGGGCGUAAAGCGCGCGUAGGUGGCUUGAUAAGCCGGUUGUGAAAGCCCCGGGCUCAACCUGGGAACGGCAUCCGGAACUGUCAAGCUAGAGUGCAGGAGAGGAAGGUAGAAUUCCUGGUGUAGCGGUGAAAUGCGUAGAGAUCGGGAGGAAUACCAGAGGCGAAGGCGGCCUUCUGGACUGACACUGACACUGAGGUGCGAAAGCGUGGGUAGCAAACAGGAUUAGAUACCCUUGUAGUC